rnacentral:rRNA from 1 species
GGGAUAUUGGACAAUGGGGGAAACCCUGAUCCAGCGACGCCGCGUGAGUGAAGAAGUAUUUCGGUAUGUAAAGCUCUGUCAGCAGGGAAGAAAGAAAUGACGGUACCUGACCAAGAAGCCCCGGCUAACUACGUGCCAGCAGCCGCGGUAAUACGUAGGGGGCAAGCGUUAUCCGGAAUUACUGGGUGUAAAGGGAGCGUAGACGGUGAUGCAAGUAUGGAGUGAAAGGCGGGGGCCCAACCCCCGGACUGCUCUGGAAACUGUGUAACUUGAGUGCAGGAGAGGUAAGCGGAAUUCCUAGUGUAGCGGUGAAAUGCGUAGAUAUUAGGAGGAACACCAGUGGCGAAGGCGGCUUACUGGACUGUAACUGACGUUGAGGCUCGAAAGCGUGGGGAGCAAACA